AUAAAGGGCAAACUUGGCGAAAGCCAGGGACGCAAAGCCACGGGUCUAAGGUACUCUCAACCGGUACUAUGACAGCCAGGCUGC
rnacentral:ncRNA from 1 species